CCCCAUGAGCCUGAAGGCAGCCGCCAUCAAACCUGCUCCACAGGUUCUGGAGGAGCUGUGUCAGAAGAACAACUGGGGACAACCAGUGUAUCAGCUCCACUCUGCCAUCGGUCCAGACCAGAGACAACUGUUCCUCUACAAGAUCACUGUCCCAGCUCUGGCUACACAGUAUCCCAGCGUUCAUCCCUUCACCCCUGCUAAACUGUGUGCUGCUGUAGAAGAAGCUAAAGUCCAUGCAGCUGAGCACACCCUGCAGACUCUGGGUCUGCAGACA